rnacentral:rRNA from 1 species
UACGAAGGGGGCUAGCGUUGCUCGGAAUUACUGGGCGUAAAGCGCACGUAGGCGGCUUUCUAAGUCGGAGGUGAAAUCCUGGAGCUCAACUCCAGAACUGCCUUUGAUACUGGAGAGCUCGAGUCCGGAAGAGGUGAGUGGAACUGCGAGUGUAGAGGUGAAAUUCGUAGAUAUUCGCAAGAACACCAGUGGCGAAGGCGGACUCACUGGUCCGGUACUGACGCUGAGGUGCGAAAGCGUGGGGAGCAAACAGG